rnacentral:rRNA from 1 species
GACGAACGCUGGCGGCGUGCUUAACACAUGCAAGUCGAACGGAAAGGCCCUGCUUUUGUGGGGUGCUCGAGUGGCGAACGGGUGAGUAACACGUGAGUAACCUGCCCUUGACUUUGGGAUAACUUCAGGAAACUGGGGCUAAUACCGGAUCGGAGCUCCUGCUGCAUGGUGGGGGUUGGAAAGUUUCGGCGGUUGGGGAUGGACUCGCGGCUUAUCAGCUUGUUGGUGGGGUAGUGGCUUACCAAGGCUUUGACGGGUAGCCGGCCUGAGAGGGUGACCGGCCACAUUGGGACUGAGAUACGGCCCAGACUCCUACGGGAGGCAGCAGUGGGGAAUAUUGCACAAUGGGCGGAAGCCUGAUGCAGCAACGCCGCGUGCGGGAUGACGGCCUUCGGGGUGUAAACCGCUUUCGCCUGUGACGAAGCGUGAGUGACGGUAAUGGGUAAAGAAGCACCGGCUAACUACGUG